UGCCCUUCGGGAAUUCCGAGACAGGUGCUGCAUGGCUGUCGUCAGCUCGUGCCGUGAGGUGUGGGUUAAGUCCCGCAACGAGCGCAACCCUAUUGCCAGUUGCUACCAGGUAAUGCUGGGCACUCUGGUGAGACUGCCCCGGUUAACGGGGAGGAAGGUGGGGACGACGUCAAGUCAUCAUGGCCCUUACGCCUAGGGCUACACACGUACUACAAUGGUGCAUACAAAGGGCAGCGAUACCGCGAGGUGGAGCCAAUCCCAAAAAGUGCGUCCCAGUCCGGAUUGCAGUCUGCAACUCGACUGCAUGAAGUUGGAAUCGCUAGUAAUUCGAGAUCAGCAUGCUCGGGUGAAUGCGUUCCCGGGCCUU
rnacentral:rRNA from 1 species